GUGAUUGAUAAACCUCUAACACACUCAAGUAUCUUUGGUUCAUAUAGCUUGCUAUACCAACUAUACUGUGUGUUAAGUUUCUCGAUCUAGGACUGGUUCAUAUAGCUUGCUAUACCAGCUCUGACGCAUUAUAUCUUAUAAAACCCAGGAUUUUUCUUCUUUUCUUUCUUUUAAUCAUUGUUUCUUAUCUUUUGCAAUAUGUGGGGGAUUGUUAUUAUUUUAAAUAAUAUAAUAUUGCAAAAGAUUUGGGUGACUGUUGCAGAAGCCAUAAAAUUCGGAGAAAAUUUUGAGCUUGGACCGCAAGUCUUUGACUUGAAGAUUUUCCAACUGGUGCUAACGUUUUUUCUUCCGUAAGCUCCGUGCAACGUUCAAAUGUUGUUGCCAACAUUAAUAUUUUUGCAUGCAACGUUCAAUUUUCUUUGCACGGUCAUUUAUUUUAUUAAAAAUUAUUUAUUUUAAUAGAAGAUAUUUUAGAUAUUUGGAUCAUGGGCCUGAUCCAUAAACUCUAUAAAUAGAGCCCCUCCUCCACUCCAAAUUCAUCCGUUCUCUCAUUCUCUCAUUCUCUCAUUCCUUUUCUCUCAUUCUCUCCUUUCUUCUAUUUUCUUAAAAUUAUCCUGGGUUUCAUUCUAUCUCUUUUAAAGAGAUCCUUGCUAGUUCUGAGAUCAUCAGAAAUUUCUGAGAAGUUCCUGUUGUAUCCUGGGGGGCUUGCGCAAUACACCGCAGAUAAGUCCUUAAGGACAGUGACUCUACAUGCCUCAGGAAAUAUUUGUUCGUGAUUCUGUCAGCAUUUCUACAACUGUUCCUGGGUUUGCGGUUUGGAGAAGAGACAUGGAUCUCAGUGAAUGCAGAAGAAUGACAGAACCUCUAUUUUAAUUUUAAUAAUUUAAUAUAUUUAAUAGUCUUUUAUUAUAUUUUCAUUUAUUAAUAUAUUUAACAAUUAAAAAUGUUAUAAUCCGGAUGCCACCUGCAUGUUCCAGCUUGCUACGUAUUAAAUAAGUUAACGUCGUUAACUGUAUUUAAUGGAAAGACUGUUAUUGAAUUAAAUUGACCAAAUUAGGGACCUAAUUGAUCACUUACAAAAUUAGAUGACCCAAUUGAAACAAAGUUUUAAAUAUAAGGACCUCCGAACCUAUUAAACCUUUUUUAAAUCAACAAAAUUGUACAUUAGUUAUUUAAUAAACAAUGUAAAAUAUCUUCUCAAUCAUAUUACAUCAGUCAGAUCUACAUCGGUUCUAUACUCGAUGUAAAAAUUGAUUUUUAAUUACUCAUCAUAGGUCUAAACAGAACAACUAACUUAUUAAUUAAAUCUUUUAUU
rnacentral:lncRNA from 1 species